GAUGAACGCUGGCGGCGUGCUUAACACAUGCAAGUCGAACGGUGAAGGCGGAGCUUGCUCUGCUGGAUCAGUGGCGAACGGGUGAGUAACACGUGAGCAACCUGCCCCUGACUCUGGGAUAAGCGCUGGAAACGGCGUCUAAUACUGGAUACGAGCUGCGAAGGCAUCUUCAGCAGCUGGAAAGAAUUUCGGUCAGGGAUGAGCUCGCGGCCUAUCAGCUUGUUGGUGAGGUAAUGGCUCACCAAGGCGUCGACGGGUAGCCGGCCUGAGAGGGUGACCGGCCACACUGGGACUGAGACACGGCCCAGACUCCUACGGGAGGCAGCAGUGGGGAAUAUUGCACAAUGGGCGAAAGCCUGAUGCAGCAACGCCGCGUGAGGGACGACGGCCUUCGGGUUGUAAACCUCUUUUAGCAGGGAAGAAGCGAAAGUGACGGUACCUGCAGAAAAAGCGCCGGCUAACUACGUG
rnacentral:rRNA from 1 species